GGUGCUGUGGUCUAGUGGUAGGACACCACGUUGUGGCCGUGUUAGCCCCGGUUCGAUUCCGGGCAGCACCA
rnacentral:tRNA from 1 species